CCUACGGGGAGCAGCAGUGAGGAAUAUUGGUCAAUGGACGAGAGUCUGAACCAGCCAAGUAGCGUGAAGGAUGACUGCCCUAUGGGUUGUAAACUUCUUUUAUAUGGGAAUAAAAUGUUCCACGUGUGGGAUUUUGUAUGUACCAUAUGAAUAAGGAUCGGCUAACUCCGUGCCAGCAGCCGCGGUAAUACGGAGGAUCCGAGCGUUAUCCGGAUUUAUUGGGUUUAAAGGGUGCGUAGGUGGAUUGUUAAGUCAGUUGUGAAAGUUUGCGGCUCAACCGUAAAAUUGCAGUUGAAACUGGCAGUCUUGAGUACAGUAGAGGUGGGCGGAAUUCGUGGUGUAGCGGUGAAAUGCUUAGAUAUCACGAAGAACUCCGAUUGCGAAGGCAGUUCACUGGACUGCAACUGACACUGAGGCUCGAAAGUGUGGGUAUCAAACAGGAUUAGAUACCCUUGUAGUC
rnacentral:rRNA from 1 species